rnacentral:lncRNA from 1 species
GAAAACAAGUUCCGAAAAUUUUUGGGCAAGUUAUGAAUUUUCCAGCGAAGGACUCGCCGGAGAAGAUUACCGGAGGUGCGGCGGCGAUCAGAUCUGGCCAAAUGGUUGGGUUCUCCUUGCUUCCAGAAUAACAUAGGCUUUGAUAUCGUCUCAAUCGGAUUUCGGACGAGGGAGAAUAACACGUUUGAAGGUGCUGAUUUUUCGGUAUGGUCGCCGGAAUCUUCAAGCUGAAGAACAGCCCAUAACGAUGCCAAACUUUCCAGAUCCCAUAUUUGGACAUCUAGAAACAUGAAUAUCAAGUGUUUAUAGGGAUGUGAACAUGUUUUGUGAUAUAAUCAAAGAGGGACAAAUUUGGUGAUAUUUGAGCAUGAUGGUGGCUGCCAUGGGAGGAAAGCUC